rnacentral:rRNA from 1 species
GACGAACGCUGGCGGCGUGCCUAAUACAUGCAAGUUGGGCGCUGAAGGUUGGUACUUGUACCAACUGGAUGAGCAGCGAACGGGUGAGUAACGCGUGGGGAAUCUGCCUUUGAGCGGGGGACAACAUUUGGAAACGAAUGCUAAUACCGCAUAAAAACUUUAAACACAAGUUUUAAGUUUGAAAGAUGCAAUUGCAUCACUCAAAGAUGAUCCCGCGUUGUAUUAGCUAGUUGGUGAGGUAAAGGCUCACCAAGGCGAUGAUACAUAGCCGACCUGAGAGGGUGAUCGGCCACAUUGGGACUGAGACACGGCCCAAACUCCUACGGGAGGCAGCAGUAGGGAAUCUUCGGCAAUGGACGAAAGUCUGACCGAGCAACGCCGCGUGAGUGAAGAAGGUUUUCGGAUCGUAAAACUCGGUUGGUAGAGAAGAACGUUGGUGAGAGUGGAAAGCUCAUCAAGUGACGGUAACUACCCAGAAAGGGACGGCUAACUACGUG